rnacentral:ncRNA from 1 species
GUGGUCAGGGGUUAAAAGGGAAACAGGUGUAAGUCCUGUGCGAUCUCGUCACUGUAAACGGAGAGUUUUGGGCCAGGGUAUAAAUGCUUUCCAAAGUGUUUGUGCCGGUCACUGGAAGACUUUCGAAAGUCUUCUGGGAAGGCGGUCUGAGGCGCAAGGGUACAGAUAUUGCUGCCAAAGUGAGGCAUAUGCUUAAAACCCUGAAAUCUGUAAGCCAGGAAACCUGCCGGCUGUGAUA